GACCAUCCUCCAAGGCUAAAUACUCCUGACUGACCGAUAGUGAACCAGUACCGUGAGGGAAAGGCGAAAAGAACCCCGGCGAGGGGAGUGAAAAAGAACCUGAAACCGUGUACGUACAAGCAGUGGGAGCCUCUUUAUGGGGUGACUGCGUACCUUUUGUAUAAUGGGUCAGCGACUUAUAUUCUGUAGCAAGGUUAACCGAAUAGGGGAGCCGAAGGGAAACCGAGUCUUAACUGGGCGUUAAGUUGCAGGGUAUAGACCCGAAACCCGGUGAUCUAGCCAUGGGCAGGUUGAAGGUUGGGUAACACUAACUGGAGGACCGAACCGACUAAUGUUGAAAAAUUAGCGGAUGACUUGUGGCUGGGGGUGAAAGGCCAAUCAAACCGGGAGAUAGCUGGUUCUCCCCGAAAGCUAUUUAGGUAGCGCCUCGUGAAUUCAUCUCCGGGGGUAGAGCACUGUUUCGGCAAGGGGGUCAUCCCGACUUACCAACCCGAUGCAAACUGCGAAUACCGGAGAAUGUUAUCACGGGAGACACACGGCGGGUGCUAACGUCCGUCGUGAAGAGGGAAACAACCCAGACCGCCAGCUAAGGUCCCAAAGUCAUGGUUAAGUGGGAAACGAUGUGGGAAGGCCCAGACAGCCAGGAUGUUGGCUUAGAAGCAGCCAUCAUUUAAAGAAAGCGUAAUAGCUCACUGGUCGAGUCGGCCUGCGCGGAAGAUGUAACGGGGCUAAACCAUGCACCGAAGCUGCGGCAGCGACGCUUAUGCGUUGUUGGGUAGGGGAGCGUUCUGUAAGCCUGUGAAGGUGUACUGUGAGGUAUGCUGGAGGUAUCAGAAGUGCGAAUGCUGACAUAAGUAACGAUAAAGCGGGUGAAAAGCCCGCUCGCCGGAAGACCAAGGGUUCCUGUCCAACGUUAAUCGGGGCAGGGUGAGUCGACCCCUAAGGCGAGGCCGAAAGGCGUAGUCGAUGGGAAACAGGUUAAUAUUCCUGUACUUGGUGUUACUGCGAAGGGGGGACGGAGAAGGCUAUGUUGGCCGGGCGACGGUUGUCCCGGUUUAAGCGUGUAGGCUGGUUUUCCAG
rnacentral:rRNA from 1 species